GCCAGUUACAGGCACGGGGCCCUCGCCAGGCGGGAAGGGAGCUAGAGGACGAGGCUGGGCUGGGCUCAGAACGGGCGCGGGCACGGUGGAGCGGACACAGGCAGUAAAUAAGAACUGCUCAUGUGGGCAUAUAAAUAGAAGCUCUCGGGAAGGCUGUGAGGGAAAGGGACAGAGGGCACCUACUGUAGCCAGGGAAGGGCUGAGGCUGGGACACUUUGGCUCGGGAAGGCUGGGAAGGAUUUGACUUUCCCUUCCUAGGAAUUAUACCUUUCUCCACCUCCACACGAGCCCCGAGGGUGGCCUGACUGGUGUUCUCUGGGUACAAAAGAGGUACCCAGCUGACGUUCCUUAUGUGUGCUCACCAGAACAAAUCUCACCCCCUCCCUCCCUGAAGAAGCCAUCCUCCCUUGCUGAAACAAUCCACUAUCCUCAGCUGGAGGAAGACAAGAUGAGUUGACUGAAAUGUUUUUGGAGAGCCCACAAAGGUCUCAGUUCUCUCCGUUCCUGGGCCUUCUGAGGGUCAGUCUCUGAUGUGGGACAUGGAUACAGCCACCCCUCCCAGGCAGCUGGCAGCAAAACAUGAGAGGAGAACAGCAGAGAGGAAGAAGCCACGCAGAGCCUGGAGUGUGGUGUUUGAGAGAGCAGACAGGUCAGCCAAAGCUGCACCUUGUAUAACAUGACCCACCUCUUCAUGAGAGAGGAUGCUGCUGCUUCGGUACCGCACAAACUGGCCCAGGGAGAAAAGCCCCAGACACGCAAUGUUUUGGUAUCUCCUUCAUUCACAGACAUUUCCCAUGCCCUUACUGUGCUCAGUACUGGGCUAGGGACACUGUUCUGAAGCCCAGAGAAAUCUGCCUUCAAGGAGCUGAGUUGGAGGGUACCACCAUGUGCUCUGGUACCUGCUAUUCUCCCUUCACGACCUGGAAUAUCUUUCCUCCUCUCUGCCUAUUAAUCCUUCAUGCCUCAGCUGAAAUGUUACCUUCACAGCUAAGAAGCAAUUACUUUUUCUCUCUGUUCCCACACCAACCACUGAAUUUGUUACCCACUUCACUAUCAUUCAUAAACUCACUGCUUUUUUAUUUACUGAAUGGGCUCUUACUGUGUACCAAGCACUUAGCACCUCCU